GAAGUUGGUGAGAGUCCAACACUGCCCCCGCAACGGUAAAACGAAACGUAUAUCUUUAUAAGUGUUUGCACUUACAUCACUGCACUCGUGUGGGAAGAUGGAUAUACCAAUAUUGUUCUCAAUA
rnacentral:ncRNA from 2 species